rnacentral:tmRNA from 1 species
GGGGGUGAGCAGGCUCGACUCGGCGCAGGAUGGGUCAGGGAAGCGAGCCGAGGUCCGCGCCUCGUUAAUCAGCGGAACGGCAAUAAAUGCCGACGAGACCUACGCUCUGGCUGCUUAAUUAAAGCGGUCACGCCUGCAGCGCCCUGGCCUGCGGGGCGCGGCGGGCGCCAACUCCAGCAGGCUGGCGGCCGCGGGUACCCGGACCGCAGCCGCGAGAUCCCUCCGGGUUAGCCGCCGGCAGACCUGCCCCUGGGGAAGCCGGACGGCGAAACUGAAACAGGGGCUACGCUCGUAGAAGCCUGGCUGGUCCCGUCGAGGACGAGGGGUGCGACUCCCCUCCACCUCCACCA